rnacentral:rRNA from 1 species
UAGUCAUAUGCUCGUCUUAAAGAUUAAGCCAUGCAUGUCUAAGUAUAAGCAAUUUUUACUGCGAAACUGCGGAUGGCUCAUUAAAUCAGUUAUAGUUUCUUUGAAAAUAUUUUUCCAUUUGGAUACCUGUGGAAAAUCUAGAGCUAAUACAUGAGAAAAAAUCCGUAAGGAUUUUUUUAUUAGCAGAAAAACCAAGCCAGGAAUUUUUUUUGGCCAUUGGUGAAUCAUAAUAACUACAAAAACCGCAAGUCUUUGUACUGCGGUGAUUCAUUUAAGUUUCUGCUCCAUCAACUAGAUUGUAAUGUAUUGGAUUACAAUGGUUUUGACGGAUGCGGGGAAUUAGGGUUCGAUUCCGGAGAGACCGCCUGAGAAACGGCGAUCACUUCUAAGGAAGGCAGCAGGCGCGCAAAUUACCCAAUCUCAAUUCGAGGAGGUAGUGACAAGAAAUAACAAUGCAUGUUGCUUUAAGCAACGUGUAAUUGGAAUGGGCUGAUUCCAAAAAUCUUAGCGAGGAACAAUUGGAGGAAAAGUCUGGUGCCAGCACCCGCGGUAAUUCCAGCUCCAAUAGCGUAUAUUAAAUUUGUUGCAGUUAAAAAGCUCGUAGUUGGAUUGAAAGAUUUUUUUUUCCUGGUCCGCCAGCAAAAGGUGAGCACUGGAAAAGAAAUCUUUAUUUUUUUGGACGCUAUUUUUUACUCUUCAUUGAGCAGAAAAUUGGCUCCAAAUACUUUACCUUGAAAAAAUUAGAGUGUUCAAAGCAAGUUUUUUGCUUGAAUAGUGCAGCAUGGGAUAAUAGAAUAAGAUUUCUGCUUAUUUUGUUGGUUUUUGAAGCGGAAAUAAUGAUUAAUAGAAACAAUUGGGGGUAUUCAUACGUGGUUGGGAGAGGUGAAAUUCUUGGAUCAAUCACAGAUGAACUAAUGCGAAAGCAUCUACCAAAUAUGUUUUCAUUGAUCAAGAACGAAAGUUUG